GGAUGCGAUUAUACCAGCAUUAAUGCACCGGAUCCCAUCAGAAAUCUGCAGUUAAGCGUGCUUGGGCGAGAGUUGUACUAGGAUGGGUGACCUCCAGGAAAGUCCUCGUGUUGCAUUCC
rfam:Arabidopsis thaliana chromosome 3, complete sequence.